AAUUCUCCCUCCAAAGUUACUUGAAAAGCUAAAGAAAAUUCUGCAGCUAGAGGAGAAAUGAUGUCAUUCUUCAUGACACAGAGAUUGUAAGACAAUCAUGUUUUAUUGGACCUGAUCUCUAGCCUUCACUGAAUUCAACAGGAUUUGGCUGAAGCCUGUAGUGGUAACUGAGGAAGGGAUGACUGAGAAAGAGAAACUCCUUAUUAGUCAGUGGCACUGGUUGUAAAGAAAGCUAGGACAAGAGACAGAUGUUGUCACACAAGUAACAUCAGUAGUUUUAAUUAAUUUUCUGAAUGUUAGAACAUGAGGAAAAAAGAACGCCUUUGGUUCCAAGAAAACAAACCCUUAGAAGUUGUGUAGAUUCCUAGGUCAUUUAUUUAUUUCAACUGACAAAGUU